rnacentral:rRNA from 1 species
AUACGGAGGAUGCAAGCGUUAUCCGGAUUUAUUGGGUUUAAAGGGCGCGUAGGCGGAUGAUUAAGUGUGAGGUGAAAUGCCACUGCUCAACAGUGGAACUGCAUCGCAAACUGGUUGUCUUGAAUGCUGUUGACGUGGGAGGAAUGUGUGGUGUAGCGGUGAAAUGCGUAGAGAGCACCCAGAACACCGAUGGCGAAGUCGUCGAACCACGCUGGUAUUGACGCUGAGACACUAAAGCGUGGAGAUCAAACAGGAUUAGAUACCCUCGUAGUCCAAACAGUAAACGAUGAGAACUAACCACUGGGUCGUAGUGAUUCAGUGGCCAAGCGAAAGCAAUAAGUUUUCCACCUGGGGAGUACGACCGCAAGGUUGAAACUCAAAUAAAUUGACGGG